ACGAACGCUGGCGGCGUGCUUAACACAUGCAAGUCGAACGGAAAGGCCCUGCUUUUGUGGGGUGCUCGAGUGGCGAACGGGUGAGUAACACGUGAGUAACCUGCCCUUGACUUUGGGAUAACUUCAUGAAACUGGGGCUAAUACCGGAUAGGAGCUCCUGCUGCAUGGUGGGGUUUGGAAAGUUUCGGCGGUUGGGGAUGGACUCGCGGCUUAUCAGCUUGUUGGUGGGGUAGUGGCUUACCAAGGCUUUGACGGGUAGCCGGCCUGGGAGGGUGACCGGCCACAUUGGGACUGAGAUACGGCCCAGACUCCUACGGGAGGCAGCAGUGGGGAAUAUUGCACAAUGGGCGGAAGCCUGAUGCAGCAACGCCGCGUGCGGGAUGACGGCCUUCGGGUUGUAAACCGCUUUCGCCUGUGACGAAGCGUGAGUGACGGUAAUGGGUAAAGAAGCACCGGCUAACUACGUG
rnacentral:rRNA from 1 species